rnacentral:rRNA from 1 species
CACGUAGGGGGCAAGCGUUGUCCGGAUUUAUUGGGCGUAAAGAGCUCGUAGGCGGCUUAGUAAGUCGGGUGUGAAACCUCCAGGCUCAACCUGGAGACGCCACCCGAUACUGCUGUGGCUAGAGUCCGGUAGGGGAGCGUGGAAUUCCUGGUGUAGCGGUGAAAUGCGCAGAUAUCAGGAGGAACACCAGCGGCGAAGGCGGCGCUCUGGGCCGGUACUGACGCUGAGGAGCGAAAGCCAGGGGAGCAAACGGG